rnacentral:hammerhead_ribozyme from 1 species
GUACUACUGAUGAGUCCCAAAUAAGACGAAACAUUUGUCCAGUGC